rnacentral:rRNA from 1 species
CAACCGGGAUUACCUCAGUAACGGCGAGUGAAGCGGUAACAGCUCAAAUUUGAAAUCUGGCUCCUACGGAGUCCGAGUUGUAAUUUGUAGAAGAUGCUUUGGGUUGUGGGUUCGGCCUAAGUUCCUUGGAACAGGACGUCAUAGAGGGUGAGAAUCCCGUAUGUGGCCGAGGCCUGCGCCUAUGUAAAGCUCUUUCAACGAGUCGAGUUGUUUGGGAAUGCAGCUCAAAAUGGGUGGUAAAUUUCAUCUAAAGCUAAAUAUGGGCCAGAGACCGAUAGCGCACAAGUAGAGUGAUCGAAAGAUGAAAAGCACUUUGGAAAGAGAGUUAAACAGUACGUGAAAUUGUUGAAAGGGAAGCGCUUGCGACCAGACUUGGGCGCUGCCGAUCACCCCGAGUUUUCUCGGGUGCACUCGACAGCGCACAGGCCAGCAUCGGUUCGGGUGGCUGGAUAAAGGCCGUAGGAACGUGGCUCCCUUCGGGGAGUGUUAUAGCCUACGGUGCCAUGCAGCCCAGCCGGACCGAGGACCGCGCCUUCGGGCUAGGAUGCUGGCGUAAUGGUUGUAAGCGACCCGUCUUGAAACACGGACCAAGGAGUCUAACAUCUAUGCGAGUGUUUGGGUGGUAAACCCAUACGCGGAAUGAAAGUGAACGUAGGUGAGAACCCCUUUGGGGCGCAUCAUCGACCG